rnacentral:rRNA from 1 species
UACGUAGGGUCCGAGCGUUGUCCGGAAUUACUGGGCGUAAAGCGCACGCAGGCGGUUCGCCAAGUUUGGAGUGACAGUUGUCGGCUCAACCGACAAAGGACUUCAAAAACUGGUGAACUUGAGGACGAGAGAGGAACAUGGAACUCCAGGUGUAGUAGUGAAAUGCGUAGAUAUCUGGAAGAACACCAAUGGCGAAGGCAAUGUUCUGGCUCGUUUCUGACGCUCAGGUGCGAAAGCCAGGGGAGCGAACGGG